UCAUCUCAGUUAACUGGGAAAAAUGAUUCAUUGGCCAUUCGGUUUUGCCUCACAGCUAAAUUUUAAAACACAUCGAUACGUCGUACUCUUGAAAAAUGUGCCAGGAUGGAUCGUGUCCUAGUUUUCCGGCACGAAAGUGCGGUAUUUGUUAUGCCAUUUAUUGUAUUGUGAUAGGAGCUACUGCCACGCGGGAUAUCUUUUACUAUUUGGAAUCUUGAAAGAAAAAAAAACGUUAUUCAAAAUAGGAAAGGUUUUUAGCUACUUUUGGCCCAUAGUCUUUGUAGAGUUUACCUUUCCAUUAAUUGUCCAUAUUAUAAGCGUAUGCAGACUGUGUUCGUUAAGAGAUGAACUAUUUCCAUAAUAUGAGGACAAUUAUCAGGACAUUGAUUUUAUAUUUUUUGACAAUAUUUUGCUAAAUUUUCAGCUUCAUAUAAGUUUUUCCAAAUUCCCUGGUAAUCGGCAUAUUCUAAUUUUAGAAUGUUUGGAAGAAAUUCAGAGUCCUCUUGGCAGUGGCCAUCCCCCGGAUCAGAAUCAAAUGGAUCUCCUCCAUGAUCUAUAUGAAUAAAAUAAAACAGUGAAAUCAUUUUUGUAUUGUAUUGGAUAAAAUGAGUAUUACUUAAAGGGUAGAAGUUUAUUUAAAUUUAUUUUCAGGUUUCAAAGUUCUGGGUAUAAUAAUGUCUUUCUUUCGUAUCGUAAAAAAGUUUAGCCCCAUGUUUUUUGUUUAAUUUUUGAGAUCUUUUACAGAUCGAAGAUAAAGUAUGUUCUGAGUUAAAAUAUUUUCUAAGAAGUGUAUUAAAGCUUCAGAUUUAGCAGCAGAUCAAGUGAGGGAGAUGAGGACCAUUAUUUUUAAUUACAACUAGUUUCGAAUUACUUCAAGUUUUGAAUCGAACGAUUUUUCAUCCUAGUUAUCUGAGAAAAAGGAUUCAUGCCCUUCGAUUUAUAUAACUCUCAGUUAAAACUGAAACCCAUACACACGUACACUAGAAAAAUGUGUCAAGAAGGAUCGUUACCUAGUAUUCCGGAAAGAAUAUGCGGUAUCUCGUAUGCCAUUUAUUGUAUUGUUGUUGGAUCUGUUUUUGUGCUAAUUUGUGUGAUGAGAACACUUAGUUUUCAAGAAGACGAGGAACAAAUCUUGCUUAUAGCAAAUUGCAUUGCCAUUAUACUGGCGAUCUCAUAUAUAGUGGCGGGAAUAUUAUUAUUACUUGGAAUCAAGAAAAAAAAUAAGUUGCUUUUCGCAGUGGGAAAGGCAUUGAGCUACAUUUGGCCAAUAUAUUAUGUUUGGCUUAUUUUUCCAUUAAUUGUCCAUAUUAUUAGCGCAUGCAGACUUUGUCCGUUAAGGGAUAAGUUAUUUCCCGAACAGUAAGAUAUGAAAUAUUUCCAUUUUCAGCCUUUAUAAGCUGUUAAAAAAUGCACGCUUUUUUUUUAUGUUUCCCAACAUAAUAUUAGUGGUAUCGCAUUUAACCUUAAGAGGAUGGCAUUGCGUUUAAGAUGAUCUAUUUGGACAGUCCACUUCGAGUUCUUGAACUUUUUAUUGAGAAGCUAACUUAAAUGGAGUUGUCCGGAAUAAUGGAGUAGUUCUCGUCCGGAUCGGGAUUAAACGGAUCGCUAUCUCAUCUGCUCAAUGAUCUAAUAACUGCACAAUAAAUGGCUUGAUUACAUAA